rnacentral:misc_RNA from 1 species
GAAAAAAUUUUCCUUUACAAUUUUCCUUUCCCCUUAUUUUCCUCCAAUCGAAACGUAGAAUUAAUUUCCCCGCCACAGCUAAGAUCCAAACAGAGGGUCAGUUAAAAUACGAAAACCUUUCUUCAUCCCUUCCGGCCAUACGGCAAGCGCGUGCAAAACGAAGAAAAUGGCAAAACGACUCGGCUCGCAGCUCUUCGUUAGCAGGUUAUCGAACUACACCACAAAUCAAAAAUUGGAAAAGUUGUUUUCACCAUUUGGAGUUGUUAAAGAAGCUCGGCUUGUUCUAGACCCAAGAACUCAAAAACCUAAAGGGUUUGGUUUCGUUACCUUUGAUUCUGAGAGCCAGGCACAAAAGGCCUUGAAAGCCAUGGAUGGAAGG